ACUUGCUGUCGGAAAAACAAAGUAGCCAUGGGGGCGGUCCUUGUCAUUCCGAGGUGCUCUGAAUGCACCAAAAGCAUAGGCCUAAGGCAGAGCACAGCCAGCAUUUGCAUACAGAGUGCAUUACCACCAUCUGCUAGACUGGAGGUGUGAUGGCAAAUGUACCCUCUAGCCUCGUUCUGGCCACCAGUGUUCUGGAAGGAACUCGAAAGACAUUUGGAAACUGAAAAGUCAGAUUACUGGUUUGACUCAGUGAAUCAGUUGUCAAUAUAUGUUAUGUAAUCACUAAUAGAUCAUCCGACUUCUUAGUCAUAAAAUGGAGCAAAGUGCUAAAACUGAGCAAAUACUUUGAUAAACAAUGUAAUGUGAAUAAUCAUUAUAUUUCCACUUUAUUUUUUUGCUUGUGUCAGAAUAUGUAGAACAUCAAGCAUGGAGAAGAGAUACAUUGCCUAAUAUCAUAGGCCUAUGAUGUGGGGAUGAUCUUGAAAUUGAAAUUGUUUUUUUAAGAUAGUGAGCUAGAUAGAUUAACUCUAUUAGAUAAAUAAAUGUGCAACAGUACAAUGCAUCUUUUACUGGGUUUAAUGAGCAAUCAUGACCACAGCAGAUUCAUUAAAUCUAUUUGACCA